GGAUGGGUGCCCGAGUGGUUUAAGGGACCGGUCUUGAAAACCGGCGAGUCGUCAGGCUCCGUGGGUUCGAAUCCCUCCCCAUCCG
rnacentral:tRNA from 1 species